rnacentral:rRNA from 1 species
AGCCGGGGCUUCUUCUGCGGGUACCGUCAUUAUCUUCCCCGCUGAAAGAGCUUUACAACCCUAGGGCCUUCUUCACUCACGCGGCAUGGCUGGAUCAGGGUUUCCCCCAUUGUCCAAUAUUCCC